ensembl:lncRNA MIR99AHG mir-99a-let-7c cluster host gene
GUCUAGGGGAGAGCCUGUAGGUACUCCAUUGUCUGGUAAAGUUCAUAUGACUGCAUUCUUUUUGCAAGGGGGGUGGAGGGAGAGCGGGGAAGGAGGGGGUGUCAGCUCAACUGUAAAAGCUGCACAGAUUUUUUUUCUUUCUCUCUCUCUGCCUCUCCAUAGAUUGUUUCUGUUUCAUGCCCUGUCUCAUUUCGCAUAGCUAAAAAAGAAUGCUAAUUAAGAUCCCUUGUCUUAACCUGAAAAAUAAUGACUCGGCUGUAAUUAGAAAUCUGGUGAGAGUUUAAAAAUUCUGGUAGGGGACCAAAAACAUCAGUUACGGUGCUUAGGAAGAAAAUGAAGAAUUAUUUUUCUGAAAUCAAGAUGGAUCUGAGAACGCUGUCUGGGCUUGGUACCAAGAGCUGGUAUUUCACAGCAGCGACCGCCUCACAGACGAGCUGUGGGAAGCAGGAGGGAGACUCUCUCUUAGGGUGCCACUACUAUGGAGACACAGCUGGGCUGAACAAGAUUUGCUUCAAACGACAACAAGAGAGACAGAAAGUAUCUGGUUCAACCGCUGCCCGAGCAGGCAGGCACCAGAAGAGCUAGCAGCCAAUCCGGCCAUGCUCGAAGCCAGCUCUGCAGCUCAGCCAAUCAGUGACAUCAUUGGUGAGAAACUCAUUUACAUCAUGCAGUAAUGAACUUUGUUUAACAUAGACUUCCCCCUUUCCUGUCACCCCCCCCCCUUUCCAUAUUAGGUCCUUCCAUUAAUUAUUCUGCUGGCAUAAUUUAAACCGCUAUGCAAAAAUGUGGCUACAUUCUCUCUGAUGGCUUUUACCUCCCCCCCCCCCCCCCCCAUUGGUGUCUGCCGUCACUGAAAGUGAUUCUGGGUACAAUUCUAUUUUGUUUUGAACUUGCAAAAAUUAUCUUCUCUUUCUUAAAAAAAAUUCUUAACAACAUUAAACCUCUGUUUAUAUUGUCUGA